rnacentral:rRNA from 1 species
GGUUAAGCGAAUGAAGCGUACACGGUGGAUGCCUAGGCAGUCAGAGGCGAUGAAGGACGUGCUAAUCUGCGAAAAGCGUCGGUAAGCUGAUAUGAAGCGUUAUAGCCGGCGAUGUCCGAAUGGGGAAACCCAGUGCAUUAAUGCACUAUCGUUUGAUGAAUUCAUAGUCAAACGAGGCGAACCGGGGGAACUGAAACAUCUCAGUACCCCGAGGAAAAGAAAUCAACCGAGAUUCCCCUAGUAGCGGCGAGCGAACGGGGAGUAGCCCAGAGUCAGCAUCGAUAUUAGCAUCAGGAGAAGGGUCUGGAAAGGCCAGCCAUAAAGGGUGAUAGCCCCGUAUCCGAAGGUGUUAGUAUCGUGAGCUCGAAGAGUAGGGCGGGACACGUGUUAUCCUGUCUGAAUAAGGGGGGACCAUCCUCCAAGGCUAAAUACUCCUGACUGACCGAUAGUGAACCAGUACCGUGAGGGAAAGGCGAAAAGAACCCCGGCGAGGGGAGUGAAAGAGAACCUGAAACCGUGUACGUACAAGCAGUGGGAGCCGGUGACUGCGUACCUUUUGUAUAAUGGGUCAGCGACUUAUAUUCUGUAGCAAGGUUAACCGUAUAGGGGAGCCGUAGGGAAACCGAGUCUUAACUGGGCGUCAAGUUGCAGGGUAUAGACCCGAAACCCGGUGAUCUAGCCAUGGGCAGGUUGAAGGUUGGGUAACACUAACUGGAGGACCGAACCGACUAAUGUUGAAAAAUUAGCGGAUGACUUGUGGCUGGGGGUGAAAGGCCAAUCAAACCGGGAGAUAGCUGGUUCUCCCCGAAAGCUAUUUAGGUAGCGCCUCGUGAAUUCAUCUUCGGGGGUAGAGCACUGUUUCGGCUAGGGGGUCAUCCCGACUUACCAACCCGAUGCAAACUCCGAAUACCGAAGAAUGUCAUCACGGGAGACACACGGCGGGUGCUAACGUCCGUCGUGAAGAGGGAAACAACCCAGACCGCCAGCUAAGGUCCCCAAGUCAUGGUUAAGUGGGAAACGAAGUGGGAAGGCUUAGACAGCCAGGAUGUUGGCUUAGAAGCAGCCAUCAUUUAAAGAAAGCGUAAUAGCUCACUGGUCGAGUCGGCCUGCGCGGAAGAUGUAACGGGGCUAAACCAUGCACCGAAGCUGCGGCAGCAACAGCAAUGUUGUUGGGUAGGGGAGCGUUCUGUAAGCCGUUGAAGGUGGACUGAGAGGUCUGCUGGAGGUAUCAGAAGUGCGAAUGCUGACAUAAGUAACGAUAAAGCGGGUGAAAAACCCGCUCGCCGAAAGACCAAGGGUUCCUGUCCAACGUUAAUCGGGGCAGGGUAAGUCGACCCCUAAGGCGAGGCUGAAAAGCGUAGUCGAUGGGAAACGGGUUAAUAUUCCCGUACUAAGGAUUACUGCGAAGUGGGGACGGAGAAGGCUAGGCUAUCCGGGCGACGGUUGUCCCGGUUUAAGCGUGUAGGUGGGUCGUGCAGGCAAAUCCGUACGACUAUAACACUGAGGCGUGAUGACGAGCCACCAAGGUGGUGAAGUAGUUGAUGCCCAGCUUCCAGGAAAAGCCGCUAAGCGAUAGGUAAUCCUUAAUCGUACCCCAAACCGACACAGGUGGUUAGGUAGAGAAUACUCAGGCGCUUGAGAGAACUCGGGUGAAGGAACUAGGCAAAAUGGUGCCGUAACUUCGGGAGAAGGCACGCUGGCGUUAGGUGAAAUGGUUAACCCAUGGAGCUGAAGCCAGUCGCAGAUACCAGCUGGCUGCAACUGUUUAUUAAAAACACAGCACUGUGCAAACACGAAAGUGGACGUAUACGGUGUGACGCCUGCCCGGUGCUGGAAGGUUAAUUGAUGGGGUAAGCCGUAAGGCGAAGCUCUUGAUCGAAGCCCCAGUAAACGGCGGCCGUAACUAUAACGGUCCUAAGGUAGCGAAAUUCCUUGUCGGGUAAGUUCCGACCUGCACGAAUGGCGUAAUGAUGGCCAGGCUGUCUCCACCCGAGACUCAGUGAAAUUGAACUCGCUGUGAAGAUGCAGUGUACCCGCGGCAAGACGGAAAGACCCCGUGAACCUUUACUAUAGCUUGACACUGAACAUUGAGCCUUGAUGUGUAGGAUAGGUGGGAGGCUAGGAAGUGUGGACGCCAGUCUGCAUGGAGCCAACGUUGAAAUACCACCCUUUAAUGUUUGAUGUUCUAACUUAGGCCCGUUAUCCGGGCUGAGGACAGUGUCUGGUGGGUAGUUUGACUGGGGCGGUCUCCUCCCAAAGUGUAACGGAGGAGCACGAAGGUUGGCUAAUCACGGUCGGACAUCGUGAGGUUAGUGCAAAGGCAUAAGCCAGCUUGACUGCGAGCGUGACGGCGCGAGCAGGUACGAAAGUAGGUCUUAGUGAUCCGGUGGUUCUGAAUGGAAGGGCCAUCGCUCAACGGAUAAAAGGUACUCCGGGGAUAACAGGCUGAUACCGCCCAAGAGUUCAUAUCGACGGCGGUGUUUGGCACCUCGAUGUCGGCUCAUCACAUCCUGGGGCUGAAGUAGGUCCCAAGGGUAUGGCUGUU